GCUCCAUUAGCUCAGUUGGUUAGAGCACCCGUCUUAUGAGCGGGAGGUCGGCGGUUCGAACCCGUCAUGGAGCA
rnacentral:tRNA from 1 species